rnacentral:rRNA from 1 species
AACGAACGCUGGCGGCAUGCCUAACACAUGCAAGUCGAACGAUUGCCUUCGGGUGAUAGUGGCGCACGGGUGCGUAACGCGUGGUAAUCUGCCCUUAGGUUCGGAAUAACAGCUGGAAACGGCUGCUAAUACCGGAUGAUAUCGCGAGAUCAAAGAUUUAUCGCCUGAGGAUGAGCCCGCGUUGGAUUAGGUAGUUGGUGGGGUAAAGGCCUACCAAGCCGACGAUCCAUAGCUGGUCUGAGAGGAUGAUCAGCCACACUGGGACUGAGACACGGCCCAGACUCCUACGGGAGGCAGAGUGGGGAAUAUUGGACAAUGGGCGCAAGCCUGAUCCAGCAAUGACGCGUGAGUGAUGAAGGCCCUAGGGUUGUAAAGCUCUUUUACCCGGGAAGAUAAUGACUGUACCGGGAGAAUAAGCCCCGGCUAACUCCGUG